UUAUCUUUCGAAUGAAAAUAAUAAUAAUAAUAGAAAAUUUCCCGAUUGCCAUUUUAGCCGACGACCCAUCUGAAACGGGAGGAAAGAGAAAAUACAUAUUUCCGGACUAUCUCUUAUAGACAGGGGUGGUCCGACAGAUCCGAUAUCAGGCUGAGAGCGUUGUUCGAAGAUUGAAGAGAUAAAUAAGGUGCUUACCAGUGUAAUUCGACUUGAUCCAAACGAACAGGAACCGCCAACGUGUGACGAAAGUCAGGAUGUGUCAGAUUGCUUCGUUUGAGCGAGUGACAUUAAGUAAACAAACGUCUUGGUUUUUUCAUUUAAUAACAUUUUAGAAUAGAUACGAUAGCCUCAAGCUCUCUGGACUCAAUUAAAAUAAUGAAUUUCUUUCGUAAGGAAGAUUACUUUUUCUAGUUUGAAAAUAAAUAAAAAAGUACUCAAGAACACCAGAAAUCACUUUAAUUUAAUAAAAUAAUGUGCGGAAUAAAAAGUACAACAUUACAAGUCUAACCGACACAAUUCCAAACAGCGGAACAAAAAAUUUGAACAUGUUGUUUAACGAAGUGCCAUUAGAUGUUUGCCGAUAUUCA